UAUACCGGUAUGGAGUGCUGGAGCGAAUAGACGUGAGCAUGCAGGCAUGAGUCGCGAGAAUUAAUGUGAGAAUCAUUAACGCCGUAAACCCAAGGUUUCCUACGCGAUGCUCGUCAUCGUAGGGUUAGUCGGGUCCUAAGUCGAGUCCGAAAGGGGUAGACGAUGGCAAAUUGGUUAAUAUUCCAAUACCAACAUUAGUGUGCGAUGGAAGGACGCUUAGGGCUAAGGGGGCUAGCGGAUGGAAGUGCUAGUCUAAGGUCGUAGGAGGUUAUACAGGCAAAUCCGUAUAACAAUACUCCGAGAACUGAAAGGCUUUUUGAAGUCUUCGGAUGGAUAGAAGAACCCCUGAUGCCGUCGAGCCAAGAAAAGUUUCUAAGUUUAGCUAAUGUUGCCCGUACCGUAAACCGACACAGGUGGGUGGGAUGAGUAUUCUAAGGCGCGUGGAAGAACUCUCUUUAAGGAACUCUGCAAAAUAGCACCGUAUCUUCGGUAUAAGGUGUGGUUAGCUUUGUAUUAGGAUUUACUCCGAAAGCAAGGCAACUUACAACAAAGAGUCCCUCCCGACUGUAUACCAAAAACACAGCACUCUUCUAACUCGUAAGAGGAUGUAUAGGGUGUGACCUGCC
rnacentral:rRNA from 1 species